GUCUGCACUCGUUGCAGGCGACGAUGCAGAGGGCUGUAAGUGUGGUGGCCCAUCUGGGCUCUCGCCUGCAGGCAUUCUCCCCGGCCUUGUGUCGUCCAUUUAGUUGCGCACAGGACACCGCUGUAUGACUUCCACCUGGCCCACGGCGGGAAAAUGGUGGCGUUUGCGGGUUGGAGUCUGCCAGUGCAGUACCGGGACAGUCACACUGACUCGCACCUGCACACACGCCAGCACUGCUCGCUCUUUGACGUGUCUCAUAUGCUGCAGACCAAGAUACUUGGUAGUGACCGGGUGAAGCUGAUGGAGAGUCUAGUGGUUGGAGACAUUGCAGAGCUAAGACCAAACCAGGGGACACUGUCGCUGUUUACCAACGAGGCUGGAGGCAUCUUAGAUGACUUGAUUGUAACCAGUACUUCUGAGGGCCACCUGUAUGUGGUGUCCAACGCUGGCUGCUGGGAGAAAGAUUUGGCCCUCAUGCAGGUAUACCCCCUCUGUGUUCUAGGCACCUUGUCUUCCUUGUUCAUAGAGCAGCAUCCUUGUUAUCCAAGACAGGGUUGGCACAGACAAAGGACCUGGAAAAUGGCUCUUUCAGUGAAUGAACAGCUAUGAGACUCAAGAGCAGGCCCUCUCUGGAGCAUGCCAGGGUUUGGUGGUGGGGGAUUACCAGGCAUGGGGAGGGGGUCUUGGCCCCUCUGGUGUGAGGUGGCAGACCUGGGCUUGGGUCAUCUCUAUCACUUAGUAGCUAUGUGACCUUGUAAGAUGGGAACCAGCCUACUACCUUUUUUUCCUCCCUCCUCCUCCUCCUCUCCACUGUCUUACUACUGUCCAGCUCUGCAGCGUCCAGCCCAUGGUAGCUGCUCAGUAAGUGGCCCCAGAUGCUCUUGUGUUUCUGUCUUUUAGGACAAGGUCAGGGAGCUUCAGAACCAGGGCAGAGAUGUGGGCCUGGAGGUGUUGGAUAAUGCCCUGCUAGCUCUGCAAGGCCCCACUGCAGCCCAGGUACUACAGGCCGGCGUGGCAGAUGACCUGAGGAAACUGCCCUUCAUGACCAGUGCUGUGAUGGAGGUGUUUGGCGUGUCUGGCUGCCGUGUGACCCGCUGUGGCUACACAGGAGAGGAUGGUGUGGAGAUCUCGGUGCCGGUAGCGGGGGCAGUUCACCUGGCAACAGCUCUUCUGAAAAACCCAGAGGUGAAGCUGGCAGGGCUGGCAGCCAGGGACAGCCUGCGCCUGGAGGCAGGCCUCUGCCUGUACGGGAAUGACAUUGAUGAACACACUACACCUGUGGAGGGCAGCCUCAGUUGGACACUGGGCCUGGGCGACAGAGUGACUCCAUCUCAAAAAAAAAAAAAAAAAAAGAAACUGAAGAUGCUCAGCAGGGAAGCGCCGCCGAGCUGCUAUGGACUUCCCUGGAGCCAAAGUCAUUGUUCCCCAGCUGAAGGGCAAGGUGCAGCGGAGGCGUGUGGGGUUGAUGUGUGAGGGGGCCCCCAUGCGGGCACACAGUCCCAUCCUGAACAUGGAGGGUACCAAGAUUGGUACUGUGACUAGUGGCUGCCCCUCGCCCUCUCUGAAGAAGAAUGUGGCGAUGGGUUAUGUGCCCUGCGAGUACAGUCGUCCAGGGACAAUGCUGCUGGUAGAGGUGCGGCGGAAGCAGCAGAUGGCUGUAGUCAGCAAGAUGCCCUUUGUGCCCACAAACUACUAUACCCUCAAGUGAAGCUGGCUCAGGGUGGGGCUGUCCCUUCCAGAAGUUUUGCCCCUACAAGGGGUUAGUCAAGAAGCUGAGGCAGAACUCACUGGGGGUGGGCAGUUAAGGUGGAGGCUGAUUCUAAUUGUCUGGCUGAGGGGCCACACCACCUAUUCCCCCCACCUAACUCAUGCCACUCCAGCUUCCUUCAGGACCCUGCUUCUGAGUGACGGACCAGCUCACACAAUGUCUUGUUUCAGUCCAUGAUCCCACUGACCUACUCUUGCCUGCUGGAGGGUAAUGAGAAGCUUUGGUUCUGCCAUCUCUCCCACUCUGCCAGGUGCUGGCUGUGGAGCAAAGGCUCACCUUUGUGGGGAGGAUAAAACCUGCCCAACCUACCUCACCAUGGUUUUUCACAUUGCAAACGGUAAUAACAUGGGCAGUGUGGACUUAGGCUACCCCCUCCAGUUUGCUUUCCGUAAAUGCAAAUUGUCCCUACUGCAAGUCAGGAAUGAUUGCCGACUCACAGUAGGGCUGCUAUGCCUGUGUGUAAACUUGGGGAUGGCUGAGGGAACACAGACUCAC
rnacentral:sRNA from 1 species